GUGUCAGCCGCCGCGGUAAUACGGAGGGUGCAAGCGUUAUUCGGAAUUACUGGGCGUAAAGCGCGUGCAGGCGGGUGGAUAAGUCUGAUGUGAAAGCCCGGGGCUCAACCCCGGAAGUGCAUUGGAAACUAUCCAUCUUGAGUGCUGGAGAGGAAGGGGGAAUUCCCGGUGUAGAGGUGAAAUUCGUAGAGAUCGGGAGGAAUACCAGUGGCGAAGGCGCCCUUCUGGACGGCAACUGACGCUGAGACGCGAAAGCGUGGGGAGCAAACAGGAUUAGAAACCCGUGUAGUCC
rnacentral:rRNA from 1 species